rnacentral:rRNA from 1 species
GAUGAACGCUGGCGGCGUGCCUAAUACAUGCAAGUCGAGCGAACGGACGAGAAGCUUGCUUCUCUGAUGUUAGCGGCGGACGGGUGAGUAACACGUGGAUAACCUACCUAUAAGACUGGGAUAACUUCGGGAAACCGUAGCUAAUACCGGAUAAUAUUUUGAACCGCAUGGUUCAAAAGUGAAAGACGGUCUUGCUGUCACUUAUAGAUGGAUCCGCGCUGCAUUAGCUAGUUGGUAAGGUAACGGCUUACCAAGGCAACGAUGCAUAGCCGACCUGAGAGGGUGAUCGGCCACACUGGAACUGAGACACGGUCCAGACUCCUACGGGAGGCAGCAGUAGGGAAUCUUCCGCAAUGGGCGAAAGCCUGACGGAGCAACGCCGCGUGAGUGAUGAAGGUCUUCGGAUCGUAAAACUCUGUUAUUAGGGAAGAACAUAUGUGUAGGUAACUGUGCACAUCUUGACGGUACCUAAUCAGAAAGCCACGGCUAACUACGUGCCAGCAGCCGCGGUAAUACGUAGGUGGCAAGCGUUAUCCGGAAUUAUUGGGCGUAAAGCGCGCGUAGGCGGUUUUUUAAGUCUGAUGUGAAAGCCCACGGCUCAACCGUGGAGGGUCAUUGGAAACUGGAAAACUUGAGUGCAGAAGAGGAAAGUGGAAUUCCAUGUGUAGCGGUGAAAUGCGCAGAGAUAUGGAGGAACACCAGUGGCGAAGGCGACUUUCUGGUCUGUAACUGACGCUGAUGUGCGAAAGCGUGGGGAUCAAACAGGAUUAGAUACCCUGGUAGUCCACGCCGUAAACGAUGAGUGCUAAGUGUUAGGGGGUUUCCGCCCCUUAGUGCUGCAGCUAACGCAUUAAGCACUCCGCCUGGGGAGUACGACCGCAAGGUUGAAACUCAAAGGAAUUGACGGGGACCCGCACAAGCGGUGGAGCAUGUGGUUUAAUUCGAAGCAACGCGAAGAACCUUACCAAAUCUUGACAUCCUUUGACAACUCUAGAGAUAGAGCCUUCCCCUUCGGGGGACAAAGUGACAGGUGGUGCAUGGUUGUCGUCAGCUCGUGUCGUGAGAUGUUGGGUUAAGUCCCGCAACGAGCGCAACCCUUAAGCUUAGUUGCCAUCAUUAAGUUGGGCACUCUAAGUUGACUGCCGGUGACAAACCGGAGGAAGGUGGGGAUGACGUCAAAUCAUCAUGCCCCUUAUGAUUUGGGCUACACACGUGCUACAAUGGACAAUACAAAGGGCAGCGAAACCGCGAGGUCAAGCAAAUCCCAUAAAGUUGUUCUCAGUUCGGAUUGUAGUCUGCAACUCGACUACAUGAAGCUGGAAUCGCUAGUAAUCGUAGAUCAGCAUGCUACGGUGAAUACGUUCCCGGGUCU